rnacentral:rRNA from 1 species
UUGGAGGGCAAGUCUGGUGCCAGCAGCCGCGGUAAUUCCAGCUCCAAUAGCGUAUAUUAAAGUUGUUGCAGUUAAAAAGCUCGUAGUUGAAUUUCGGGAUUGACGUGAUGGUCAUGCCUUAAGGGGUAUGAACUGUUACUGUUGAUUUCUCACCUUCUGGAGAAACUUGAUGUCCUUUAUUGGGUGUCUUGCGGAUCCAGGACCUUUACCUUGAAAAAAUUAGAGUGUUUAAAGCAGGCAUUUUUUGCUCGAAUACAUUAGCAUGGAAUAAUAGAAUAGGACGGCAUGGUUCUAUUUCGUUGGUUUCUAGGAUCACCGUAAUGAUUAAUAGGGAUAGUUGGGGGCAUUAGUAUUCAAUUGUCAGAGGUGAAAUUCUUGGAUUUAUUGAAGACUAACUACUGCGAAAGCAUUUGCCAAGGAUGUUUUCAUUAAUCAAGAACGAAAGUUAGGGGAUCGAAGACGAUCAGAUACCGUCGUAGUCUUAACCAUAAACUAUGCCGACUAGGAAUCAGACGAUGUUAAUUUUUUAAUGACUCGUUCGGCGCCUUACGGGAAAC